rnacentral:rRNA from 1 species
UACGAAGGGGGCUAGCGUUGCUCGGAUUGACUGGGCGUAAAGGGCGUGUAGGCGGCGGACACAGUCAGACGUGAAAUUCCUGGGCUCAACCUGGGGGCUGCGUUUGAUACAUGUCUGCUUGAGUUCGGAAGAGGGUCGUGGAAUUCCCAGUGUAGAGGUGAAAUUCGUAGAUAUUGGGAAGAACACCGGUGGCGAAGGCGGCGACCUGGUCCGAUACUGACGCUGAGGCGCGAAAGCGUGGGGAGCAAACAGG